rnacentral:rRNA from 1 species
ACGGGUGAGUAACACGUGGGUAAUCUGCCCUGUACUCUGGGAUAAGCCUGGGAAACUGGGUCUAAUACCGGAUAGGACACAGCCUCGCAUGGGGGUGUGUGGAAAGUUCCGGCGGUACAGGUUGAGCCCGCGGCCUAUCAGCUUGUUGGUGGGGUGAUGGCCUACCAAGGCGACGACGGGUAGCCGGCCUGAGAGGGUGACCGGCCACACUGGGACUGAGACACGGCCCAGACUCCUACGGGAGGCAGCAGUGGGGAAUAUUGCACAAUGGGCGCAAGCCUGAUGCAGCGACGCCGCGUGGGGGAUGACGGCCUUCGGGUUGUAAACCCCUUUCGCCAGGGACGAAGCGUGAGUGACGGUACCUGGAGAAGAAGCACCGGCCAACUACGUGCCAGCAGCCGCGGUAAUACGUAGGGUGCAAGCGUUGUCCGGAAUUAUUGGGCGUAAAGAGCUCGUAGGCGGUGUGUCACGUCUGCCGUGAAAACCUGCGGCUUAACCGUGGGCGUGCGGUGGAUACGGGCAUCACUUGAGUUCGGUAGGGGAGACUGGAAUUCCUGGUGUAGCGGUGGAAUGCGCAGAUAUCAGGAGGAACACCGGUGGCGAAGGCGGGUCUCUGGGCCGAUACUGACGCUGAGGAGCGAAAGCGUGGGGAGCGAACAGGAUUAGAUACCCUGGUAGUCCACGCCGUAAA